rnacentral:rRNA from 1 species
AUUGAACGCUGGCGGCAUGCUUUACACAUGCAAGUCGAACGGCAGCGCGGGCUUCGGCCUGGCGGCGAGUGGCGAACGGGUGAGUAAUACAUCGGAACGUGCCCAGUAGUGGGGGAUAGCUCGGCGAAAGCCGGAUUAAUACCGCAUACGACCUGAGGGUGAAAGCGGGGGAUCUUCGGACCUCGCGCUAUUGGAGCGGCCGAUGGCAGAUUAGCUAGUUGGUGGGGUAAAGGCCUACCAAGGCGACGAUCUGUAGCUGGUCUGAGAGGACGACCAGCCACACUGGGACUGAGACACGGCCCAGACUCCUACGGGAGGCAGCAGUGGGGAAUUUUGGACAAUGGGCGAAAGCCUGAUCCAGCAAUGCCGCGUGUGUGAUGAAGGCCUUCGGGUUGUAAAGCACUUUUGGCGGGAACGAAAAGGGCUGUGCUAAUACCACGGUUCGAUGACGGUACCCGCAGAAUAAGCACCGGCUAACUACGUGCCAGCCGCCGCGGUAAGAC